rnacentral:tRNA from 1 species
UAGGAAGUGGUGUAGAGGAAGCACAUGGAAUUUUGAUUUCUAGUGUAAGGGUUCGAUUCCCUUCUUUCUAG